AGCUUUGCACAGUGGCAGUAUCAUAGCCAAUGAGGUUUAUCUGAGGCAUAAUUAUUGCUAAAUGAAAACUUUUCCCAAUACCCCGCCAUGAUGACUUGAAAUAUAGUCGGCAUUGGCAAUUUUUGACAGUCUCUAUGGAGA
ensembl:snRNA U4 U4 spliceosomal RNA